rnacentral:rRNA from 1 species
CAGUAGCCGCGGUAAUACGAAGGGUGCAAGCGUUACUCGGAAUUACUGGGCGUAAAGCGUGCGCAGGUGGUGGUUUAAGUCCGUUGUGAAAGCCCUGGGCUCAACCUGGGAAUUGCAGUGGAUACUGGGUCACUAGAGUGUGGUAGAGGAUAGUGGAAUUUCCGGUGUAGCAGUGAAAUGCGUAGAGAUCGGGAGGAACAUCAGUGGCGAAGGCGGCCAUCUGGGACAACACUGACGCUGAAGCACGAAAGCGUGGGGAGCAAACAGGAUUAGAGACCCCUGUAGUCCCUGUCUCUUAUAA